rnacentral:rRNA from 1 species
AUUGAACGCUGGCGGCAGGCCUAACACAUGCAAGUCGAGCGGAGCGGCGGACGGGUGAGUAAUGCCUAGGAAUCUGCCUGGUAGUGGGGGAUAACGUCCGGAAACGGGCGCUACUACCGCAUACUAUCAGAUGAGCCUAGGUCGGAUGAGCUAGUGGGUGGGUGAAAGGCCUACCAGGGCGACGAACCGUAACUGGUCUGAGAGGAUGAUCAGUCACACUUGAACUGAGACACGGUCCAUACUCCUACGUUGGGCACCGGUGGGGAAUCUUGGACAAUGGGCUAAAGUCUGAUCCAGCCAGUCCGAGUGUGUUAAGAAGGUCUUCGGAUUGUAAAGCACUUUAAGUUGGGAGGCGUUACCAACAGAAUAAGCACCGGCUAACUUCGUGCCAGCAGCCGCGGUAAUAC